UACGAAAGGGGCUAGCGUUGUUCGGAUUUACUGGGCGUAAAGCGCACGUAGGCGGAUACUUAAGUCAGGGGUGAAAUCCCGGGGCUCAACCCCGGAACUGCCUUUGAUACUGGGUAUCUCGAGUCCGAGAGAGGUGAGUGGAAUUCCGAGUGUAGAGGUGAAAUUCGUAGAUAUUCGGAGGAACACCAGUGGCGAAGGCGGCUCACUGGUCCGGUACUGACGCUGAGGUGCGAAAGCGUGGGGAGCAAACAGG
rnacentral:rRNA from 1 species